UUAAUUUAUUAAUAUAAAAUAUAAUAAAUAUAACAAAUAUAGGUGAUAUGAUUUGAAAAUAUUGUUCAAUACAAUUGACAUUAAAGUAUGGUAGCUAAAGAGCUAAUAUUGUAAUAGGAAGAAUAAAGAUAAUUAACAUCUUAAUCCUAACUAUAAAUAGUAUAUAUAAAGCUAAGAGAAUUGAAACAUCUUAGUAUCUUAGUUAAUAUAACCAAUAGGGUGUAUGUAAGUAUCGGUGAGAGAAAGCAUAUAAGCAUAUAAGUAAUAUUUAAUAAUAUGAAUAAAGUAGUUCUACUACUAAUGCUAAUAAACAAUAUUAAGUUUAAAGUACUGUGAAGGAAAUAGUUAAGACUAUAUAUUAUAAUAUCAACUUUACUAAGUAAACUAUCCGUCGAGAGCACCCCUCCUUCGGAGGGGUGCUUAAUGAAAAUAAAGUUUAUUUUUUAAUAAAAAAAGUAUGAUAAUAUAUUUAUAUUAGUUAAUAAAUACUUUAAUGGAGAGCAGCUAUAGUAUAGCGUACCUCUUGUAUAAUGGGUCAGUGAGUUAUUUGUAUAAGCGUAAUUAAGAAUUAAAUAUAAUUAGUUUAAAGUUUAUAUAAAUAGACUCGAAACCAUAUGAUUUAUAUAUGUAUAAGUAUAUUAAUAUUAAUAUAUAUAAUAAUAAUAUGACUUAAAUAGGUAGAUGUAGCAAUAUCUUCUAUAGAUACGUGUAUAGUAGUGAAAGACAAAUCUGAUAUGGAGAUAGCUGGUUGUCUGUGAAAUAUAUUUUAGUAUAGCCUAUAUAUAAUGUAAUACUUGGUAAAGCUCUGAAUAAUAUAUGGGGGUAUUUAUAUUUACUAUAUUUAUUUAAUCUCUGAACAAGUUAUUAUUUUCUAAAGUAUAUAGAGUCAGACAUAUUGCGAUAAGGUAGUAUGUCGAAAAGGAAACAGCCUAAACUAUUAAAUGAAGGUCCCUUAUUAAGAACUAAGUGAAUAUAAUCCUUGAUAUCUGAUUAGACAAUUAGUCAGUGGGUUUGACAAUAAUCAUCUGUUAAUGAACAUGUAACAAUACACUAAUAGAAUAUCUAUAUUGAGGAAUUAAUAAUCGGGUCUAAGUUCUUAACCGAAUUAUAGAUGUAUAUAUAUAUAAAAUAAAAUAUAAAAUAUACAUAGUAACAGACUACAUAAUAUAAUAAUAAUUAUGAAGAAUAUGCUGACUUGAGUAACGAUAGAUAAUAUAAGAUUAUCAUUACUAAAUACAUAAGGUUUUAAUAUAAAUUAACGGUGUCUAAAUUUAUAUAAGAAGUUAUAUAUAUGAUGACAAAUAAAACAAGAAAUAAUAAUAACCGUACUGUAAACCGACACAGGUAUGUAUAAAUUAUAUAUAGAAUAUAAUAUAAACUAUAUAUAGUAUCUUUCUACGUUUCCUUUAAUAAGGUACGUAAUUAAUUAGAUUAGUAAUAAUGAAUUAACUAUGCUUAAUGAACUCGGCAAAUAAUAGUACGACUGUUUACCAAAAACAUAGCUUAUUGCAGAUACGAGAGUAUUAGUAUAAUAAGUGAUAUCUGUCCACUGUUAGUUAGAUAAUAAAUAAUGAGCUAAUAAAUGACGGUCUUAUCAUGAGGAUCUGAUAGUAGCAAAAUUCAUUGGCAUAUAAUUGGUGUCCUGCAUGAAUGAUAACACGAUACUAUAGCUGUAUCAAGCAUAGGUUCAGUGAAAUAGUAAUCGCAGUGAAGAUACUGUGUGACCAUAGAUUGACAAAAAGACCCUAUGCAGCUUUACUAUAACUUUAUAUUGAUAAUAAUAUUGAUUAAUAAGUAUAUAUUAUAUUAAUAAAUAUAAUAGCUUAACUAUUAAUAGAUUAUCUAAUUCAUAGAAUAAUAAUAUAUAUAUAAACACUUUUUAUAAUAAAGAGUAAGAUAUAUAUAUAUUUCAGUGCUCCUUCGUUCCAGAAGGAGAAGAAGACAUUAUAAAGUGGUUAGUUUCGAUGGGGCGUCGACAUCAUAGAAUACAACUGAUGUGUCUAAAUGAUACUUUAUAAACCUUUUAAUUAUUAGUUUAUAAUUAGUUUAUAAUUUCUACGCUCCCCCUCCUUCGGAGGGGGGCAAGAAUCUAAUUAUAUAAUUAGAAGUUAAUUUCUUAAAAUAUAAGAAUAUAAUAGAAUGACCAUGUACAGUAAUACUAGCCGGCAACUAGUAAAAUAUUAAUAAUAAGGAUAAUAACAUAACUGUGCAAUGAUAGUGAUACCCACGAGUAGAGCUAGUACUUAUGUAUAGUAUAAUGAACAGGCAAUAACUAUAGAGUAGUAUGUCGAUAACGGAUCAAAGUUACGCUAGGGAUAACAGGGUAAUACUGCUAGAGAGUAGAUAUCGUCAGCAGUGUUUGCCACCUCGAUGUCGUCUAGACUUAACCUAUUGGUAGCAGACGCUAAUAAGGGUACGACUGUUCGUCGUUUAAUAAGUUACUUGAGAUGGGUUAAUUACGACGUGAGUCAGUAAGGAUUUUAUCAUCUAUGGUAUAAUAACUUUAUAUAACUAUAUGUGUACGAGAGGAUUGUAUAGUAUAGUCCAAUGGUGUAUAAAUAUAAUAUAGAUUAUAGUUAAUAACUCUUACACUAUAUUAAUAACUAAGACUAUUAAGAAUAAAUACUGAUCGCUUAUCAAGUAUGAAAUCUUAUAUAAAGUUAAUAAUUAAUAACAUUAUAGAUAAUAAUGUAAUAGUUUUAUAUUGAACUGUUUAUUUUUUAAUAAUUAAAUAAAUAAUGGUUCUAUUAAUAUACUAAUUAUAACUUAU